ACUCAAAUGAAUAGACGGGGGCCCGCACAAGCGGAGGAACAUGUGGUUUAAUUCGAUGAUACGCGAGGAACCUUACCUGGGCUUAAAUGGGGAGUGACAGCUACUGAAAGGUUGUUUUCUUCGGACACUCUUCAAGGUGCUGCAUGGUUGUCGUCAGCUCGUGCCGUGAGGUGUCGGGUUAAGUCCCAUAACGAGCGCAACCCUUACUGUUAGUUGCCAACGGUUAAAGCCGGGGACUCUAGCGGGACUGCCACCGUAAGGUGAGAGGAAGGUGGGGAUGACGUCAAAUCAGCACGGCCCUUAUGUCCAGGGCUACACACGUGUUACAAUGGCCGGUACAAAGGGCAGCUACACCGCGAGGUGAUGCUAAUCUCUAAACCCGGUCUCAGUUCGGAUCGAAGUCUGCAACCCGACUUCGUGAAGUUGGAUUCGCUAGUAAUCGCGCAUCAGCCACGGCGCGGUGAAUACGUUCCCGGGCCUUGCACACACCGCCGU
rnacentral:rRNA from 1 species